AACGGCCGCGGUAUCCUAACCGUGCGAAGGUAGCGUAAUCACUUGUUCUUUAAAUGAGGACUAGUAUGAAUGGCACCACGAAGGUUAUACUGUCUCCUUCCCCUAAUCAGUGAAACUAAUCUUCCCGUGAAGAAGCGGGAAUAAACCUAUAAGACGAGAAGACCCUAUGGAGCUUUAAACACAGUAAUAACUGCCCCUCCCCCCUUAUGCACCUCCGGGAAAAACUACCUUACCUGGGCACCCUAAUUACAAGUUUUAGGUUGGGGUGACCGCGGAGCAAAAAAUAACCUCCACAGUGAACGGGACUCUUCCCCUAAAUUCAGGGCCACAGCCCUAAGAAUCAAUAAAUUGACACCCAUUGACCCAAUACUUUUGAUCAAUGAACCAAGUUACCCUAGGGAUAACAGCGCAAUCCACUUCAAGAGCUCCUAUCGACAAGUGGGUUUACGACCUCGAUGUUGGAUCAGGGUACCCCAGUGGUGCAGCCGCUGCUAAAGGUUCGUUUGUUCAACGAUUAAAACCC
rnacentral:rRNA from 1 species